rnacentral:rRNA from 1 species
GAAGACCCUGUUGAGCUUGACUCUAGUCUGACUCUGUGAAGACAAAUUAGAGCUGUAUCAUAAGUGGGAGGCCGUGAACCCUCGUGUUGUGUCGUGCCAACACUGAAAUACCACUAGUUUCAUCGUUUCUUUACUUACUCGGUGAAGCGGAAAGCGGACAAUGAGUUGUCCAUGCUUCUAGCACUUAAGGGUAAAGACCCUUCGUUGGCCCGCCACGAUCUGUUUCUGAGGACAGUGUCAGGUGGGAAGUUUGACUGGGGCGGUAACAUCUGUCAAAUGGUAACGUAGGUGGUCCUAAGGCGAGCUCCAGCGCGGACAAGAACCUCCGCGUAGAGCAAAAGGGGCAAAUGCUUGCUUGAUAGUGAAUCUUCAGUACGGAUAACAGACCGGGAAAGUGGGGCCCCCUCGAUCCUUUUGACUGUGAGAGGUUUUAAGCAAGCGGUGUCAGAAAAGUUACCCACACGGGAUAACUGGCUUGUGGCGGGCCAAGCGUUCAGAGUGACGUCGCUUUUUGAUCCUUCGAUGUUGCUCUUCGUAUCAUUGCGAAGGAGAAAUCGCCAAGCGUUGGAUUGUUCACCCACUAAUAGGGAACGUGAGCUGGGUUUAGACCGUCGUGAGACAGCCCAGGU